rnacentral:rRNA from 1 species
GACGAACGCUGGCGGCGUGCUUAACACAUGCAAGUCGAACGGAAAGGCCCUGCUUUUGUGGGGUGCUCGAGUGGCGAACGGGUGAGUAACACGUGAGUAACCUGCCCUUGACUUUGGGAUAACUUCAGGAAACUGGGGCUAAUACCGGAUAGGAGCUCCUGCUGCAUGGUGGGGGUUGGAAAGUUUCGGCGGUUGGGGAUGGACUCGCGGCUUAUCAGCUUGUUGGUGGGGUAGUGGCUUACCAAGGCUUUGACGGGUAGCCGGCCUGAGAGGGUGACCGGCCACAUUGGGCCUGAGGUACGGCCCAGACUCCUACGUGAGGCAGCAGUGGGGAAUAUUGCACAAUGGGCGGAAGCCUGAUGCAGCAACGCCGCGUGCGGGAUGACGUCCUUCGGGUUGUAAACCGCUUUCGCCUGUGACGAAGCGUGAGUGACGGUAAUGGGUAAAGAAGCACCGGCUAACUACGUG